rnacentral:tRNA from 1 species
UGGCUCAGAUGGUAGAGUGUCUGUCUACAAUGCAGGAGACCUGGGUUCGAUCCCUG